GCCGGGGUAGCUCAGCUGGGAGAGCAACAGACUGAAGCGCAGCGUGCACAAGUAUUCUGGAGGUCCCGUGUUCAAUCCACGGUCCUGGCA